AGAUUAAGUUAUUAAGGGCGCACGGUGGAUGCCUUGGCACUAGAAGCCGAUGAAGGACGUUACUAACGACGAUAUGCUUUGGGGAGCUGUAAGUAAGCUUUGAUCCAGAGAUUUCCGAAUGGGGAAACCCAGCAUGAGUUAUGUCAUGUUAUCGAUAUGUGAAUACAUAGCAUAUCAGAAGGCACACCCGGAGAACUGAAACAUCUUAGUACCCGGAGGAAGAGAAAGAAAAUUCGAUUCCCUUAGUAGCGGCGAGCGAAACGGGAAGAGCCCAAACCAACAAGCUUGCUUGUUGGGGUUGUAGGACACUCUAUACGGAGUUACAAAGGACGACAUUAGACGAAUCAUCUGGAAAGAUGAAUCAAAGAAGGUAAUAAUCCUGUAGUCGAAAAUGUUGUCUCUCUUGAGUGGAUCCUGAGUACGACGGAGCACGUGAAAUUCCGUCGGAAUCUGGGAGGACCAUCUCCUAAGGCUAAAUACUCUCUAGUGACCGAUAGUGAAC
rnacentral:rRNA from 1 species